rnacentral:rRNA from 1 species
UACGGGGGGGGCAAGCGUUGUUCGGAAUUACUGGGCGUAAAGCGUGCGCAGGCGGUUCGUUGUGUCCGUCGUGAAAGCCCCGGGCUUAACCUGGGAACUGCACCUGUGACUGCAUCGCUGGAGUGCGGCAGAGGGGGAUGGAAUUCCGCGUGUAGCAGUGAAAUGCGUAGAUAUGCGGAGGAACACCGAUGGCGAAGGCAAUCCCCUGGGCCUGCACUGACGCUCAUGCACGAAAGCGUGGGGAGCAAACAGG